rnacentral:rRNA from 1 species
UACGGGGGGGGCAAGCGUUGUUCGGAAUUACUGGGCGUAAAGGGCUCGUAGGCGGCCAACUAAGUCGGACGUGAAAUCCCCAGGCUCAACCUGGGAACUGCGUCCGAUACUGGAUGGCUUGAGUUCGGGAGAGGGAUGCGGAAUUCCAGGUGUAGCGGUGAAAUGCGUAGAUAUCUGGAGGAACACCGGUGGCGAAGGCGGCAUCCUGGACCGACACUGGACGCUGAGGAGCGAAAGCCAGGGGAGCAAACGGG